AUACGGAGGGUGCAAGCGUUACUCGGAACCACUGGGCGUAAAGCGCGCGCAGGCGGCUUGAUAAGUUGGAUGUGAAAGCCUACGGCUCAACCGUAGAACUGCAUCCAAAACUGUCAAGCUAGAGUCUGGGAGGGGAAGAUGGAAUUAGUUGUGUAGGGGUAAAAUCCGUAGAGAUAACUAGGAAUACCAAAAGCGAAGGCGAUCUUCUGGAACAGUACUGACGCUGAGGCGCGAAGGCGUGGGGAGCAAACAGGAUUAGAAACCCCGGUAGUCC
rnacentral:rRNA from 1 species